rnacentral:rRNA from 1 species
GACGACCCGUGCGAACGUUGUUCGGAUUCACUGGGCUUAAAGGGCGCGUAGGCGGGGGGUCAAGUCCGAGGUGAAAUCUUUCGGCUCAACCGGAAAAGUGCCUUGGAUACGGACUCUCUCGAGGGAGGUAGGGGCAUGUGGAACUUCCGGUGGAGCGGUGAAAUGCGUAGAUAUCGGGAAGAACACCGGUGGCGAAGGCGGCGACCUGGUCCUUUACUGACGCUGAGGCGCGAAAGCGUGGGGAGCAAACAGG